ensembl:lncRNA
UGUUUCAGGCAAUGCUAUACGCAGGGGCUGUUUGGGUGGAGAAUGGGAAGCAGAUGGAAGAAGUUUUGCCAUUGAACUGGAUCGACACAGAGACCAAAGUGUAAACCGACAGGAGUGUGAAAAAUAUAAUUACACCUCAGCUCAAACCGAAGAGGAGGACACAGUCAGUCAAAAGAGAAUGAAGAAAAUAAGGACAUUUGAAGAUUAUGUUCAAGGAUACAGUCUUGCUUCCGGUUCCUCCGCCAAAGAUUAAGCUCUCACAUAGGGGACAAAAUGCAAGGCUGCUCGAGUUACCUGCACCCCCAGAACUGGCUAACACCGCCAUUAGACAACCAGCGAGUCCUGCAUCUUCAGACAUUUCUGGAUGUUCUCGUCCAACGCCUCACCGUUCACCCACAAGGUCUGAAUCAACAGAAGCAUUUAGUCCAGAGUCUGCCAGUAGGAUCUAUGGAUCUUGCACACCUCAGCGUGGAGUUUGAAAGCCAUCACAGUCCGGGAGCAGAAAGAGUCGGGCAUCCUCAUCCAGUGUCCCAGCUCUCAAAGGUGGGAGGGAGAAACCAUAAAGACUGCGUCCAUAAAGUGAUGGAGAGGCUUUUUACCAACAAUCUAAUGGCUGGUUUCAACAUGAAGGGGCAGGGUCGCAGUGAGAAAAAAGCCUUCCAGGAUACAGUUUUUUACUCUUUGGACUACCUACCUUCCUCUUGGAUCACACUAAAUAGGUCAAUGUGUCCUAGACAAAC